ensembl:lncRNA LINC00847 long intergenic non-protein coding RNA 847
GGUACCCGGACCUGCCCAACGACCGUUCUCCAUUCCCGACCUCCGCACCCUACCCGGUCCGCAGGGCACCUUCCUCCUCUCUCUCAGGCACGUCCUCGACCUCAGUUGCCACGUGCACAUGCUGGUGCCUUCCAGGUACCAGUCAGGACUGGUAGACUUUAAUGUGGAGAACUUCUGAAACAGCAGUUCUCAAAAUGUUACCUCCAGACACACAGAAUCUGCAUCACCCAGGAACUUGUAACCAUGCAAAUUCUCAGCCACCCAGACUUCCUGCAUCAGAAACUCUGGGGCCCAGCAGCCUGUGUUUUAACAAAGCCCUUCAGGCUGGAGUAUAGUGGCAUGAUCAUAGAUCACUGCAGCCUCAAACUCCUGGGCUCAAGCGAUCCUCCCACCUCAGCCUCCAUAUAGCUGGUGGGGACCAAGUUUCUAACACAUGAAUGUUGGGAGACACAUUCAGACCAUCGCAGUGGCCUUAUAAAAAGAGACACAAGAGCUUGCUCUCUGCCAUGUGAGAAUACCACAAGAAGACUGUCCUCAGCAAAUCAGAAAGCGGGUGGACCCUCAUCAGACACCAGAUGUGCCUGCACCUUGAUCUUGGACUUGCCAGCCUUCAGAACAGUAAGAAAGAAAUGUGUGUUGUUUAAGCCACCCAGUCUAUGGUAACUUGCUAUAGCAGCCCACUAGGAGACCCCAAGAUAUUUAAAAACUCAUCAGCACCUGCUUUCUGCAUCUGGACCCUGAUCUUCUGGUGGGUUUACCAGUUACUUGUAGAGUGUCCCUGUGAUAGUUUUAGGUGUCAACUUGACAGGAUUGAGGGAUGCCUAGAUGGCUGGGGAAGCACUGUUUCUGAGAAGGACCAUGUUUUUGGAGGAGACUGUUUUAUGAGUGAAUUUCAGGGGACACAUUCAGAUCAUGGCAGUGGCAUUAUAAAGAGAGACACAAAAGCUUGCUCUCUCUCUCUGCCAUGUAAGACUACCACACAAAGACUGCCAUCUGCAAACCAGAAGCAGGUGGGCUUUCCUCAGACACCAGAUCUGCCUGCACCUUGAUCUUGGACUUGCCAGCCUUCAGAACUCUAAGAAAGAAAUGGUAGCAUGGCUUGGUCUAAGUUGGAAGGCCUGAGAAACAAGCACAUGGUGGAACUGAGUUCAAGGAUAAAGACUUGAGAAUACCUGCUCAGUGGACUGAGUAGGGAAGAUCAACCCUCAAUGUAGGCAGGCACUAUCCAAUCACCUGAGGGCCCAGAUGGAACAAAAAGGUGGAAGAAGGGUGAAUUCUCUCUUCCAGAGCUGUGACACCCUUCUCAUGCCCUUGUACCACACAACUCUAGGUCCUUUGGCCUUUGGACUCUGACACUUGCACCAGUGGCCCUCUGGGGCUCUCAAGCCUUUAGCCUUGAACUUAGUUACACCAUGUGCCUCCUUGUUUCUCAGGCCUUCCAACUUGGAUCAGGCCAUGCCACCGGCUUCUCUGAUUCUCCAGCUUGCAGAUGGUAUAUUGUGACCCUGGCAUUUAAUAACUAUGACUUUGGUCUUAAGCAAUUUUCUUCCUCUGUGGAUUGAUAUUUACAUAUCAAUGUGGAUAAUAAUUUCUUACCACGGUAACUGUUGUGAGGUAAAAAUGAGUUAACAUAAGUAAAACCGAGCACAUGCAAACCAUCCGAAAUGGUUAAUACUUACUAUUUGUACUUGAAGAAAUAAAUGUUUUUGACAAUAAACUUCUUGUGCAGUUUUCCUCA